GGAGCUGGAGCUCAGUGGUAGAGUGCAUGCUUACCAUACACAAGGCCUUAGGUUCAACCCCAGCAUCACCA
rnacentral:tRNA from 1 species